AUUGAACGCUGGCGGCAGGCUUAACACAUGCAAGUCGAGCGAGCGGCGGACGGGUGAGUAAUGUCUGGGAAACUGCCUGAUGGAGGGGGAUAACUACUGGAAACGGUAGCUAAUACCGCAUACCAUCGGAUGUGCCCAGGUAGGAUUAGCUAUUAGGUGGGGUAAAGGCUCACCUAGGCGACGAUCCCUAGCUGGUCUGAGAGGAGGACCAGCCACACUGGAACGGAGACACGGUCAAGACUCCUACGGGAGGCAGCAGUGGGGAAUAUGGCACAAUGGGCGCAAGCCUGAUGCAGCCAUGCCGCGUGUAUGAAGAAGGCCUUCGGGUUGUAAAGUACUUUCAGCGGGGAGGCGUUACUCGCAGAAGAAGCACCGGCUAACUCCGUGCCAGCAGCCGCGGUAAUUC
rnacentral:rRNA from 1 species